GGGGGGCUACUUCGGUGGCCUCGGAUGCUCGAUGGUCGGGAGAGGAAGUCGCGGCGGCGGGGCUGCUUCGGGCAAGAGAUUGAAGAAGAAGAAGAAGACAUUUUUCUUUAUUUUUUUUUUAUUUGUUCUCCCUAUCAAAACGACGUCGUUUUGAACGCGUGGCUUGCCACCGUGUAAUAAAUGCCACACGUAAUGCCAUGUAGUUUAAAAUAGUGUCCACGUCAUCGCUGGUCAAACAUGAGAGUGGUCGGAACUUCCGCUGGGUGCAAAUUGCAACUAAAUCAAAAGAUCAUGUAUUAUGGAGCUAUUUUUGAAGGUUAUGAGCAAUAUGCAAAACCGAAAAUAGUUGGUGUAUUUUCCGACUAUUAACCCUUGUUUUAAUAAUAUGUUGAAUCACUGCG
rnacentral:lncRNA from 1 species